AAUUAAUUGAUUAUUAAAAUUUUUAUUUGAAUUAUUUAUUUAAAAAAAACAAUUUUUUUUUUUAUUAAUAUUUAAGAACUGAUAAAAUUAAUUAUAGAUUAAUAGUAUUGAGAAAGAAAUCAAGAUUUUAAUUAAAAGAAAAAUUUAUUUUUUGUACCUUGUGUAUCAGGGUUUAUUAAAUAAAAAUUUUAGAUAAAAUUUUCUCGAAUUUAAAAGAGCUAUGAUUAUAUAAAUUUUAUUGUGGAAUAAAUACUUAAAAUAUAGUUAUAGAAGUGAAAAGCUAUUCGAUUUUAAAUAUAUCUAGUUUUUUAAGAAAAAAAUUUAAUUUUAUUCUUAUUUUAUUAUUUAUUUAAAUUUUUAAUUUAAUAAUAGUAAGAUUUAAUAUUUUAAGGGAUGAGCUUUAAAAUAGAUUAAUAUAAUUUAUAUAUAUAAAAAAUAUUUAAUAAGUGGGAUUAAAAGCUUUCAUCUUUAUUAGUGUGUAAAAACUAUUUAAGUAUAAUAUAAGAUUUUUAUAUAAAUUUAUAUAAUUUAUUAAAAUAUAAAUUUAAAUGGUAUUAAUUUAGUAAUAAUGAUAAAAUUAGUAUAAUUUUAUGUUCAAUAUAAUUAUUGACUAAAGGUUUUAUAAAGGAACUCGGCAAAUACAUUUUUCACCUGUUUAUUAAAAACAUGGCCUUUUGAUUAUAAUUUAAGGUCUGGCCUGCCCAAUGAUUAAUAUUAAUUAAAUGGCCGCGGUAAUUUGACCGUGCAAAGGUAGCAUAAUCAUUAGUUUUUUAAUUGAAAGCUGGAAUGAAGGGUUGGAUGAGAAAAUAGCUGUCUCUAUAAAAAUUUAUUAGAAUUUUAUUUUUAAGUAAAAAAGCUUAAAUUUAUAUAAAAGACGAGAAGACCCUAUAGAAUUUAAUAUUUUUUUGUUAUUAAGAUUUUAGUAUUUUAAUUUUUUUAUCAAAUAAAGUAUUUGGUUGGGGUGAUAGAAAAAUUUAAUUAACUUUUUUUGUAUUUAUACAUUAAUUUAUGAUUAUAUGAUCCUUAUUUAAAGAUUAAAAGAGAAAUUACCUUAGGGAUAACAGCGUAAUUUUUUUUGAGAGUUCAAAUCGAAAAAAGAGUUUGCGACCUCGAUGUUGGAUUAAAAUAUAAUUUUGGUGUAGAAGCUAAAAAUUUAGGUCUGUUCGACCUUUAAUAUUUUACAUGAUCUGAGUUUAAACCGGUGUGAGCCAGGUUGGUUUCUAUCUUUAUAAAAUUAAAAUAUUUUAGUACGAAAGGACCAAAUAUUUGAUUUAAAAUUUAGUAUUAGAAUAUUAUU
rnacentral:rRNA from 1 species